UUUCAUUAAGCCACACGCAGCAGCAGAGAGUCAACGAGCUGCAUAAAAAGAAACAGGUGCUAGCUGCACAAGUGUACUUCAGAAGCGAUGACCGGCCACCAUGCUUUGCUGCCUAAACUGCGCCUGAGAAGUACAUGUACAAACAAGCUAGGAAAACUGCCUUGCUGUCACCGCAGCUCCAACAGACCAGCAGACCCUCGGCCAGCUCACGGUGACCUUUGGGAAAUACAAAGGCAAGACCUUCAUGUGGCUUAUGGAGGAAGAUGUCAGCUAUGUAA